GCCUGGGUGGCUCAGUCAGUUAAGCGUCUGACUUCGGCUCAGGUCAUGAUCUCGCGGUCCGUGGGUUCGAGCCCCGCGUCGGGCU
rnacentral:tRNA from 1 species